rnacentral:ncRNA from 1 species
ACAACAGCUUUGAUCAGGAGUAUUAUUGAAAUAAACUUUAGAGAGAGUACAGUCGCUGAAAAGUACUUAGUUGAAUUCUUUAAUUGUUACCUGUGAGCUAUCAAAAUUGAUCGGGCCACCGUUAUCUGUUGAGAGAGGAGUCUUUGACUCCUAAUUUAGGUGGUACCGCGAGCAUUCGUCCUAUUC